rnacentral:tRNA from 1 species
GACUUAGGAAAAUCCGUCGAUUUCAAAAAUCAUGAGG